rnacentral:rRNA from 1 species
AAGCGGUGGAGUAUGUGGUUUAAUUCGAUGCAACGCGAAGAACCUUACCUGGUCUUGACAUCCCGGAGACCCUUAGGAACUAGGGGUGCUUCCAUCUGGAAGAAUCUGGAGACAGGUGCUGCAUGGCUGUCGUCAGCUCGUGUCGUGAGAUGUUGGGUUAAGUCCCGCAACGAGCGCAACCCUUGCCUUUAGUUGCCAGCAGUUCGGCUGGGCACUCUAAAGGGACUGCCGGUGUUAAACCGGAGGAAGUGGGGAUGACGUCAAGUCCUCAUGGCCUUUAUGACCAGGGCUACACACGUACUACAAUGGCCGAUACAAAGGGCAGCGACACUGCGAGGUGAAGCCAAUCCCGUAAAAUCGGUCUCAGUCCGGAUUGGAGUCUGCAACUCGACUCCAUGAAGUUGGAAUCGCUAGUAAUCGUGGAUCAGCAUGCCACGGUGAAUACGUUCCCGGGCCUU